GUGAGGAAUAUUGCGCAAUGGAGGCAACUCUGACGCAGCCAUGCCGCGUGCAGGAAGAAGGCGCUACGCGUUGUAAACUGCUUUUAACCGGGAAGAAACCCCAGGACGUGUCCUGGGUUGACGGUACCGGAGGAAUAAGCACCGGCUAACUUCGUGCCAGCAGCCGCGGUAAUACGAAGGGUGCAAGCGUUAUCCGGAUUCAUUGGGUUUAAAUGGUGCGUAGGCGGAGCGUUAAGUCAGUGGUGAAAUCCUGCAGCUUAACUGUAGACUUGCCAUUGAUACUGGCGCUCUUGAGUGCGCUUGAAGUGGGCGGAAUGUGCCGUGUAGCGGUGAAAUGCUUAGAUAUGGCACAGAACACCAAUUGCGAAGGCAGCUCACUAAGGCGAUACUGACGCUGAGGCACGAAAGCGUGGGGAUCGAACAGGAUUAGAUACCCGGGUAGUCC
rnacentral:rRNA from 1 species